rnacentral:lncRNA from 1 species
AUGCUCGCCGCCACCCCCGGAGCCGCGGAGGAUGGAGGAGGGACCGGGAUCCACCGCGUCCCGGGGGGUCCCCGAGAGCCGGGGGCGGCACCGAAUCCUUACCUGAGCAGAGUUGGUGGGCGAGGGUCCGCCCUGGGGUCGGUGCGCCGGGACCGAGGGCGCGGAACGGCGGGAGCGCGACGCGGCCGGGGCCACCUCCCCCGCGGGCUUAUAAAGGCGGCCGAGGGGCCCGGAGAGCGGCCGGGGCAGCCCGCCCCCGCCCCCGCCCCCGCCCCCGCCGCCGGCCCCGGCCCGGUCCUCCCCGCCCCCGCCCCGCCCCCGCCGCGCCCCGCCCCCCCAGAGCCCGGGCCGGCACCUGGGCCACGCGGUCAGGGCGCCCCCUGCCGGGAAGCGGGGUGCCCCCGGCCCCCGAGCUCCGGCUGGUGCGGGACGGGAUGCCGGGCGGGGGGGCGGGGCGGCUGGAUGCAGGGGGCGCUGGAUGCAGGGGGGCGCGGCAGCUGCUGGCACGUCCCCGGCCCGCGCUCCCGGGCCCCCUCGGCCUCCUGGCUUCCCGCCGGGCCCCUGGCCCUGCCCCCUGCGAGGUCGGGCGCACUCCCGUCUCCGCGCGCGGAUCCCACUCGUCUUUGGGGCUCCAACUCCGUCCCGGGUCUCUUGGGGUCUUCCUCCCGCCCUCAGCCUUGCCUGCCCCUGUCUGUGUCUGCCGGCGUCUACCUGUCUCCCUUCGGGUCCCUCCACAUCUCUAUCCGUCUGCAUCCGCGUGUCCUCCGGCCACUGUCCCCCUGUGUUGUCCGACUCUCCCUGCGCUCUCCCUUCCCACUUCAGACCAGCGCUGCCCCGCUAGCCCUCGUCCCUGCCCUUGGACUCUCUGGACUAGGCCCGGAGGAAGCAGAGGGUGACCUAGGAGGGGCGGCUUCUGGAGGGGAGCCUCCGCUGGACGGGGGCUCUUACCUCUUUUAUCCUGAGAGGGAAGGGGCCCGGGCAGCAUUCAUGCUGACCUGUCCCAGCCGCAAGCCUCCCUGA